AUAGUAUUCUCUAUCCAUCGGAUCCCGACAAACACAACAUAUAGUAUUACAGAUAGAUGAUCUUGAUCAUGUUAGGCAGCUCACAAGAUCCAACAAUGAAGCACAUAAGGAGAAGACGACCAUCUAGCUACUGCUAUGGACCCAUAGUCCAGGGGUGAACUACUCACUCAUCACUCCGGAAGCGAUCAUGGCGAUGAAGAGUCCUCCGGGAGAUGAUUCCCCUCUCCGGCAGGGUGCCGGAGGCGAUCUCCUGAAUCCCCCGAGAUGGGAUUCGCGGCGGCGGCGUCUCUGGAAGGUUUUCCGUAUCGUGGCUCUCGGUACUGGGGGUUUCGCGACGGAGACUUUAAGUAGGCGGAAGGUCAACGCGGGGGGCCACACGAGGUGCCCAGGGGGUAGGGCCGCGCGGCCAGGGCUUGGGCCGCGUCGCCCUAGCCCCUGGCUGCCUCGUGGCCCCACUUUGUUAUCUCUUCGGUCUUCUGGAAGCUUCGUGCAAAAAUAGGACCCUGGGCGAAAGUUUCGUCCAAUUCCGAGAAUAUUUCCUUACUAGGAUUUCUGAAACCAAAAACAGCAGAAAACAGCAACUGGCUCUUCGGCAUCUUGUUAAUAGGUUAGUUCCAGAAAAUGCAUAAAUAUGACAUAUAAUGUGCAUAAAACAUGUAGGUAUCAUCAAUAAAGUAGCAUGGAACAUAAGAAAUUAUCGAUACGUUGGAGACGUAUCAGCAUCCCCAAGCUUAGUUCUGCUCGUCCCGAGCAGGUAAAACGAUAACAAAGAUAAUUUCUGA